rnacentral:rRNA from 1 species
CAGUAGCCACGGUAAUACAGAGGGUGCAAGCGUUAAUCGGAUUUACUGGGCGUAAAGGGCGCGUAGGUGGUUAUUUAAGUGAGAUGUGAAAGCCCCGGGCUUAACCUGGGAACUGCAUCUUAUACUGGGUAACUGGAGUGCAGUAGAGGGUAGUGGAAUUUCCGGUGUAGCGGUGAAAUGCGUAGAUAUCGGAAGGAACACCAGUGGCGAAGGCGGCUACCUGGACUGAGACUGACACUGAGGCGCGAGAGCGUGGGGAGCAAACGGGAUUAGAUACCCCGGUAGUCCCUGUCUCUUAUAC